rnacentral:rRNA from 1 species
GACGUAGGUGGCAAGCGUUGUCCGGAGUUAUUGGGCGUAAAGCGCGCGCAGGCGGUUCGGUAAGUCCAUGGUGAAAGCGCCCGGCUCAACUGGGCGAGUGCCGUGGGGACUGCCGAGCUGGAGGGGAGCAGAGGCGAGUGGAAUUCCGGGUGUAGUGGUGAAAUGCGCAGAUAUCAGGAAGAACACCUAUGGCGAAGGCAGCUCUCUGGGACGGUACUGACGCUGAGACGCGAAAGCGUGGGGAGCGAACAGG